GGCUUAGAAGCAGCCACUCAUUUAAAGAGUGCGUAAUAGCUCACUAGUCAAGAGAUCCUGCGCCGAAGAUGUCCGGGGCUCAAACUUACCACCGAAGCUAUGGGUGUACACUACGUGUACGCGGUAGGGGAGCUUUCUGUAUGGGUUGAAGUCGUACCGUAAGGAGCGGUGGACUGUACAGAAGUGAGAAUGCUGGCAUAAGUAGCGAGAAAUAAGUGAGAAUCUUAUUGGCCGAAAACCUAAGGUUUCCUGAGG
rnacentral:rRNA from 1 species